GGUCACUGCUAUUGGGAUUCGAUUAAGCCAUGCGAGUCGAGAGGGUUCGGCCCUCGGCGGACUGCUCAGUAACACGUGGAUAAUUUGCCCUUAGGUGGAGAAUAAUCUCGGGAAACUGAGAAUAAUACUCCAUAGAUCUAGGAUGCUGGAAUGCACUUAGAUUGAAAGCUCCGGCGCCUAAGGAUAAGUCUACGGACUAUCAGGUUGUAGUCAGGGUAAAGGCCUGACUAGCCUACAACGGAUACGGGUUGUGAGAGCAAUAACCCGGAGACGAUAUCUGAGACACGAUAUCGGGCCCUACGGGGCGCAGCAGGCGCGAAACCUUCACAAUGUGCGAAAGCGCGAUGAGGGGAUCCCAAGUGCUUGCUCGUAAGAGUAAGCUGUUUUUAUGUCUAAAAAGCAUAGAGAGUAAGGGCUGGGUAAGACGGGUGCCAGCCGCCGCGGUAAUACCUGCAGCUCAAGUAGUGAUCGCUAUUAUUGGGCCUAAAACGUUCGUAGCCGGUUUGAUAAAUGCCUGGGUAAAUAGUGUAGCUUAACUAUACGAAUUCCGGGUAGACUGUCAAACUUGAGACCGGGAGAGGCUAGAGGUACUCCUGGGGUAGAGGUGAAA
rnacentral:rRNA from 1 species